rnacentral:rRNA from 1 species
AUUGAACGCUGGCGGCAGGCCUAACACAUGCAAGUCGAACGGUAACAGGAAGCAGCUUGCUGCUUCGCUGACGAGUGGCGGACGGGUGUGUAAUGUCUGGGAAACUGCCUGAUGGAGGGGGAUAACUACUGGAAACGGUAGCUAAUGCGGCAUAACGUCGCAAGCCCAAAGAGGGAGACUUUAGGGCCUCUUGGCAUCAGAUGUGCCCAGAUGGGAUUUGCUAGUAGGUGGGGUAACGGCUCACCUAGUCGACGAUCCCUAGCUGGUCUGAGAGGAUGACCAGCCACACUGGAACUGAGACACGGUCCAGACUCCUACGGGAGGCAGCAGUGGGGAAUAUUGCACAAUGGGCGCAAGCCUGAUGCAGCCAUGCCGCGUGUAUGAAGAAGGCCUUCGGGUUGUAAAGUACUUUCAGCGGGGAGGAAGGGAGUAAAGUUAAUACCUUUGCUCAUUGACGUUACCCGCAGAAGAAGCACCGGCUAACUCCGUG